rnacentral:pre_miRNA from 1 species
GAAGGUGUUGGUGUGACAGGAGAUAGAGAGCACAUACGUUCACAUGCAGAGAGUCUGCUUUUGAGAUGUAUGUGCUCUCUAUGCUUCUGUCGUCACAUUACACCUUC